rnacentral:rRNA from 1 species
CCUACGGGGGGCAGCAGUGAGGAAUAUUGGUCAAUGGACGAGAGUCUGAACCAGCCAAGUAGCGUGAAGGAUGACUGCCCUAUGGGUUGUAAACUUCUUUUAUAAAGGAAUAAAACGAGGCACGUGUGCCUUUUUGCAUGUACUUUAUGAAUAAGGAUCGGCUAACUCCGUGCCAGCAGCCGCGGUAAUACGGAGGAUCCGAGCGUUACCCGGAUUUAUUUGGUUAAAGGGGAGCGUAGAUGGGUUGUUAAGUCAGUUGUGAAAGUUUGCGGCUCAACCGUAAAAUUGCAAUUGAUACUGGGAGUCUUGAGGAAAGUUGAGGUAGGCGGAAUUCGUGGUGUAGCGGUGAAAUGCUUAGAUAUCACGAAGAACCCCGAUUGCGAAGGCAGCUGACUAAACGGGGACUGACAUUGAUGCUGAAAGUGUGGGUAUCAAACAGGAUUAGAUACCCCGGUAGUC